GACGAACGCUGGCGGCGUGCUUAACACAUGCAAGUCGAGCGAUGAAGCACCUUCGGGUGUGAAUUAGCGGCGAACGGGUGAGGAACACGUGAAGAAUCUGCCUUCAACUCUGGGAUAACUCCGGGAAACCGGGGCUAAUACCGGAUAUGAGCCUUGAUCGCAUGAUCGGGGCUGGAAAGUUUUUCGGUUGAAGAUGACUUCGCGGCCUAUCAGCUUGUUGGUGAGGUAAUGGCUCACCAAGGCGACGACGGGUAGCCGGCCUGAGAGGGCGACCGGCCACACUGGGACUGAGACACGGCCCAGACUCGUACGGGAGGCAGCAGUGGGGAAUAUUGGGCAAUGGAGGAAACUCUGACCCAGCGACGCCGCGUGAGGGAUGAAGGCCUUCGGGUUGUAAACCUCUUUCAGUAGGGAAGAAGCGAAAGUGACGGUACCUACAGAAGAAGCACCGGCUAACUAUGUGCCAGCAGCCGCGGUAAUACAUAGGGUGCAAGCGUUGUCCGGAAUUAUUGGGCGUAAAGAGCUCGUAGGUGGUUCGAUACGUCGGAUGUGAAAAUCAGGGGCUCAACCCCUGACCUGCAUCCGAUACGGUCGAGCUAGAGUUUGGUAGGGGAGACUGGAAUUCCUGGUGUAGCGGUGGAAUGCGCAGAUAUCAGGAGGAACACCGAUGGCGAAGGC
rnacentral:rRNA from 1 species